rnacentral:rRNA from 1 species
UCUAGCUAGUAUGCCUGGGCAAAGGGAACUUUAGUUCAGCCCCCCGAAACUAGACGAGCUACUUCAAGACAGCCUAUGUAGGGCGAACCCGUCUCUGUCGCAAAAGAGUGGGACGAUCUUCAAGUAGAGGUGACAAACCUAUCGAGCCUAGUCAUAGCUGGUUGCCUGAAAAGUGAAUAUAAGUUCAGCCUCCCGAUUCCCCCCAUCCAAGACAUCCUGUCCCACAAGACUAAGGGCGACCGAGAGAGUUAGUCAAAGAGGGUACAGCCCCUUUGAAAAAGGACACAACCUCACCGGGAGACAAAAGAUCAUAACUUACCCAAGGAAACUUGUUUUAGUGGGCCUAAAAGCAGCCAUCUAUGAAGAAAGCGUUAAAGCUUAUACAAAAUACGACCCUUAAUACCGAACCAUGCUCUACACUCCCCAACCACUAUCAGGCCGUUCCAUAAACCCUGGAAAAGACCCUGCUAAAAUGAGUAAUAAGAGGGAACCGCCCCUCUCCACUACACAUGUGUAAAUCGGAACGGACCGCCCGCCGACAACUAACGACCCCCUUAGAGGGCUGUGUACUACUGCACGAACAGCUAGAAACCUUAACACAACCAAUCGUUACCCCAACACAGGUGUGCAUGCCCGGAAAGACUUAAACAAAGGGAAGGAACUCGGCAAACAAAAGCCUCGCCUGUUUACCAAAAACACCGCCUCUUGCAAAACGAACAAAUAAGAGUCCCGCCUGCCCUGUGACUAUAUGUUUAACGGCCGCGGUAUUUUGACCGUGCGAAGGUAGCGCAAUCACUUGUCUCUUAAAUGGAGACCCGUAUGAAAGGCAUCACGAGGGCUUGACUGUCUCCCCUUUAAAGUCAAUGAAAUUGAUCUCCCCGUGCAGAAGCGGGGAUAUGCUCGUAAGACGAGAAGACCCUAUGGAGCUUAAGACACAAAACGACCCACGUCAAACACCCCUCAAAGGACACGAACAAAGUAGACUUCGUUAGAAUGUCUUCGGUUGGGGCGACCGCGGGGAAAAACAAAACCCCCACAUGGACUGGGCCCACACAAUUUUUAAUCCCAAAACCUAGACCCCCGAGUCAAAUCAACAGUAUUUCUGACCACCAAGGAGCCGGCAAUGCCGAUCAACGGACCAAGUUACCCUAGGGAUAACAGCGCAAUCCCCUCCCAGAGCCCAUAUCGACGAGGGGGUUUACGACCUCGAUGUUGGAUCAGGACAUCCUAAUGGUGCAGCCGCUAUUAAGG